AGCGAACGCUGGCGGCAGGCCUAACACAUGCAAGUCGAACGAAGUCUUCGGAACUAGUGGCGGACGGGUGAGUAACACGUGGGAACGUACCUUUUGGUUCGGAACAACUCAGGGAAACUUGAGCUAAUACCGGAUGAGCCCUUAGGGGGAAAGAUUUAUCGCCGAAAGAGCGGCCCGCGUUAGAUUAGCUAGUUGGUGAGGUAAAGGCUCACCAAGGCUACGAUCUAUAGCUGGUCUGAGAGGAUGAUCAGCCACAUUGGGACUGAGACACGGCCCAGACUCCUACGGGAGGCAGCAGUGGGGAAUCUUGCGCAAUGGGCGAAAGCCUGACGCAGCCAUGCCGCGUGAAUGAUGAAGGUCUUAGGAUUGUAAAAUUCUUUUACCAGGGACGAUAAUGACGGUACCUGGAGAAAAAGCCCCGGCUAACUUCGUGCCAGCCGCCGCGGUAAUAC
rnacentral:rRNA from 1 species